AGAGUUUGAUCAUGGCUCAGAGCGAACGCUGGCGGCGUACCUAACACAUGCAAGUCGAACGGAGAUCAUGGGGUUAGCAAUAACUCUAUGGUUCUAGUGGCGCACGGGUGAGUAACACGUGGGUAACCUGCCCUUGAGACUGGGAUACCCCCUCGAAAGGGGGCUAAUACCGGAUACGUUCCUCGGAUCGAAAGUUCUGGGGAGGAAAGGUGGCGAAAGCUGCCGCUCUUGGAGGGGCUCGCGGCCUAUCAGCUAGUUGGCGGGGUAACGGCCCACCAAGGCUAUGACGGGUAGCUGGUCUGAGAGGACGACCAGCCACACGGGGACUGAGACACGGCCCCGACUCCUACGGGAGGCAGCAGUGGGGAAUUUUCCGCAAUGGGCGAAAGCCUGACGGAGUGACGCCGCGUGUGGGACGAAGGCCUUCGGGUCGUAAACCACUGUCAGUGGGAAAGAUGGGUGUCGGCGCGAUAACCGCCGGCAUUUGACGGUACCUGCAGAGGAAGCCCCGGCUAACUCUGUGCCAGCAGCCGCGGUAAGACAGAGGGGGCAAGCGUUGCUCGGAAUUACUGGGCGUAAAGGGCGCGUAGGCGGGAUGGCAAGUCGGUCGUGAAAUCCCUCGGCUCAACUGAGGAUCGUCGAUCGAUACUGCCGUUCUUGAGGAUUGCAGAGGAGACUGGAAUUCCCGGUGUAGCGGUGAAAUGUGUAGAGAUCGGGAGGAACACCGGUGGCGAAGGCGGGUCUCUGGGCAAUUCCUGACGCUGAGGCGCGAAAGCGUGGGGAGCAAACGGGAUUAGAUACCCCGGUAGUCCACGCUGUAAACGAUGACGACUAGGUGUGGGGGGGUUCAGUCCCUUCCGUGCCGCAGCUAACGCAUUAAGUCGUCCGCCU
rnacentral:rRNA from 1 species